UCCCUGGUGGUCUAGUGGUUAAGAUUCGGCGCUCUCACCGCUGCGGUGCGGGUUUGAUUCCCGUUCAGGGAA